ACAAUGGAGAGUUUGAUCCUGGCUCAGGAUGAACGCUAGCUACAGGCUUAACACAUGCAAGUCGAGGGGAAACGAUAUUGGAAGCUUGCUUCCGAUAGGCGUCGACCGGCGCACGGGUGAGUAACGCGUAUCCAACCUGCCCACCACUUGGGGAUAACCUUGCGAAAGUAAGACUAAUACCCAAUGACGUCUCUAGAAGACAUCUGAAAGAGAUUAAAGAUUUA
rnacentral:rRNA from 1 species